rnacentral:rRNA from 1 species
GGAUAAGCGGGUCCAUACCUAUGGGCCUCACCUCAUGAACGGNUCUCAAAGUAGCCCGGGGAAUAAACACCCCCGGGCGAAACAGAGGCCUCUGCCACCGGACAUGUCUACCAUACUGCCUUGACCGGGGUUGGUCUUGUUCGAGCGCGGCAGAGCCCAUCCACAAGCGCACGAUGGACUUCAGACCUAUCAGCUAGACGGUAGGGUAUUGGCCUACCGUGGCGAUGACGGGUACAGAGGAUUAGGGUUUGAUCCUGGAGAGGUAGCCUGAGAAAUCGCUCCCACUUCUAAGGAAGGCAGCAGGCGCGUAACGUUCCCAAUGCUAGUACCCCUAGUGAGGACGUAAUGGGACAUAACAAUACCCCUAUUUGAUAGUGGGUAAUUGACAAUGGGGCGGGCCUAAACACCCUGCCGAGAAGCAACUGGAGGACA